rnacentral:rRNA from 1 species
UACACUCCUACGGGAGGCAGCAGUGGGGAAUUUUGGACAAUGGGCGAAAGCCUGAUCCAGCAAUGCCGCGUGAGUGAAGAAGGCCUUCGGGUUGUAAAGCUCUUUUGUCAGGGAAGAAACGGUGAGAGCUAAUAUCUCUUGCUAAUGACGGUACCUGAAGAAUAAGCACCGGCUAACUACGUGCCAGCAGCCGCGGUAAUACGUAGGGUGCAAGCGUUAAUCGGAAUUACUGGGCGUAAAGCGUGCGCAGGCGGUUUUGUAAGUCUGAUGUGAAAUCCCCGGGCUCAACCUGGGAAUUGCAUUGGAGACUGCAAGGCUAGGAUCUGGCAGAGGGGGGUAGAAUUCCACGUGUAGCAGUGAAAUGCGUAGAUAUGUGGAGGAACACCGAUGGCGAAGGCAGCCCCCUGGGUCAAGAUUGACGCUCAUGCACGAAAGCGUGGGGAGCAAACAGGAUUAGAAACCCUCGUAGUCCCA